rnacentral:rRNA from 1 species
GACGUAGGGGGCAAGCGUUGUCCGGAUUUAUUGGGCGUAAAGAGCGUGUAGGCGGCCAUGCAGGUCCGUUGUGAAAACUCGAGGCUCAACCUCGAGACGCCGAUGGAAACCGCAUGGCUAGAGUCCGGAAGAGGAGAGUGGAAUUCCCGGUGUAGCGGUGAAAUGCGCAGAUAUCGGGAAGAACACCCGUGGCUAAGGCGGCUCUCUAGUACGGUACUGACGCUGAGACGCGAAAGCGUGGGGAGCGAACAGG